rnacentral:rRNA from 1 species
GAUGAACGCUGGCGGCGUGCUUAACACAUGCAAGUCGAACGGGAAAUAUUUCAUUGAGACUUCGGUGGAUUUGAUCUAUUUCUAGUGGCGGACGGGUGAGUAACGCGUGGGUAACCUGCCUUAUACAGGGGGAUAACAGUCAGAAAUGGCUGCUAAUACCGCAUAAGCGCACAGAGCUGCAUGGCUCAGUGUGAAAAACUCCGGUGGUAUAAGAUGGACCCGCGUUGGAUUAGCUAGUUGGUGGGGUAACGGCCCACCAAGGCGACGAUCCAUAGCCGGCCUGAGAGGGUGAACGGCCACAUUGGGACUGAGACACGGCCCAGACUCCUACGGGAGGCAGCAGUGGGGAAUAUUGCACAAUGGGGGAAACCCUGAUGCAGCGACGCCGCGUGAAGGAAGAAGUAUCUCGGUAUGUAAACUUCUAUC